AAUAAUGGAAAAUGAAGUGUUCAUAUAUUCUCGUAAUAUAUAAGAGAAUAGCCCGUAUGUUGGGUGGUAAAUGGAAUUGAAAAUACCCGCUUUGAGGACAGCGGGUUCAAAAACUACUAUAGGUAGGCAGUGGUUGCCGACCUCGCAUUGUUCGAAAUAUAUAUUUCGUAUAAUGAUUAUAUUGGUUACUUAUAAUAAAGUAUAUUAUUAUCCGUACAAAGUGUUCUCAAGG
rnacentral:misc_RNA from 1 species